rnacentral:tRNA from 2 species
GCGGAAGUAGCUCAGUUGAUAGAGCAUUAGCCUUCCAAGCUGAGGGUCGCGGGUUUGAACCCCGUCUUCCGCU